GAGCUGCUGAGCGAGCCGCGUCCUGAGGGUCUGACGGAGAUCUUGUGUCCGAAGAACGGCUCCGAGCGCGUCGACGUGGCGCUGGUCUACCCCCCGACCCCCGCCGUGCUGAGCCCCGGCCUCCAGUGACCCCCCAACCCCCCCCCCCCCCCAACCUGCCCCCUGCCCCGACCUCGCCGGAUCACUGCCCCCCCGACGUUGUCCGUCUGGGACCUGGGACGUCUCAUCGACAUCAGACAGUAUUUAAGGAUCAGGACGUUGUCUCUCAGUCUCUGGACAGACGUCUUUUUAAUCAUUUCUACACACCACAGACGUCUGUAACGCUGAGGACCGCGUUGCAUUGUGGGCCGGAUCUCUGCAACGCCCCCCCCCCCCCCCCCCCAGAAGGUUUCACGGGACGGAAGUGUCCCGCGAUGUGUUCGAGUGUUGAAUCAGAAUCAGACACUAAUGCAGCAAAAACAUGACGAUGUGUUGAGUGUAUGUGCAAGAAGAGAGA